AGCUUCAGUAGCGUAUAUUAAAGUUGUUGCAGUUAAAAAGCUCGUAGUCGCAUUUCUGGCGAGAGGAUCCGGUCCGACCUUUUGGUGGGUUCUUGGGUCUCUUUCGCCAUCCUUGAGUGGUCCGUUCUGGCAUUAGGUUGUCGGAGCGCCAGCCGCUCAUCGUUUACUGUGAGAAAAUUAGAGUGUUCAAAGCAGGCUUAUGCCGUUGAAUAUAUUAGCAUGGAAUAAUAAGAUAGGACCUCGGUACUAUUUUGUUGGUUUGCGCGCCAAGGUAAUGAUGAACAGGGACAGUUGGGGGUAUUUGUAUUUCGUUGUCAGAGGUGAAAUUCUUAGAUUUACGAAAGACAAACUACUGCGAAAGCAUUUACCAAGGAUGUUUUCA
rnacentral:rRNA from 1 species